rnacentral:rRNA from 1 species
GGUGCUUGCAUCUUGAUUUAAUUUUGAACGAGUGGCGGACGGGUGAGUAACACGUGGGUAACCUGCCCUUAAGUGGGGGAUAACAUUUGGAAACAGAUGCUAAUACCGCAUAAAUCCAAGAACCGCAUGGUUCUUGGCUGAAAGAUGGCGUAAGCUAUCGCUUUUGGAUGGACCCGCGGCGUAUUAGCUAGUUGGUGAGGUAACGGCUCACCAAGGCAAUGAUACGUAGCCGAACUGAGAGGUUGAUCGGCCACAUUGGGACUGAGACACGGCCCAAACUCCUACGGGAGGCAGCAGUAGGGAAUCUUCCACAAUGGACGCAAGUCUGAUGGAGCAACGCCGCGUGAGUGAAGAAGGCUUUCGGGUCGUAAAACUCUGUUGUUGGAGAAGAAUGGUCGGCAGAGUAACUGUUGUCGGCGUGACGGUAUCCAACCAGAAAGCCACGGCUAACUACGUGCCAGCAGCCGCGGUAAUACGUAGGUGGCAAGCGUUAUCCGGAUUUAUUGGGCGUAAAGCGAGCGCAGGCGGUUUUUUAAGUCUGAUGUGAAAGCCCUCGGCUUAACCGAGGAAGUGCAUCGGAAACUGGGAAACUUGAGUGCAGAAGAGGACAGUGGAACUCCAUGUGUAGCGGUGAAAUGCGUAGAUAUAUGGAAGAACACCAGUGGCGAAGGCGGCUGUCUGGUCUGUAACUGACGCUGAGGCUCGAAAGCAUGGGUAGCGAACAGGAUUAGAUACCCUGGUAGUCCAUGCCGUAAACGAUGAAUGCUAGGUGUUGGAGGGUUUCCGCCCUUCAGUGCCGCAGCUAACGCAUUAAGCAUUCCGCCUGGGGAGUACGACCGCAAGGUUGAAACUCAAAGGAAUUGACGGGGGCCCGCACAAGCGGUGGAGCAUGUGGUUUAAUUCGAAGCAACGCGAAGAA